rnacentral:rRNA from 1 species
GACAGAGGGUGCAAACGUUGUUCGGAAUCACUGGGCGUAAAGCGCGUGUAGGCGGCCGCGUAAGUCGGGCGUGAAAUCCCACAGCUCAACUGUGGAAGUGCACUCGAAACUGUGCGGCUAGAGUCCUGGAGAGGAAGGUGGAAUACUUGGUGUAGAGGUGAAAUUCGUAGAUAUCAAGUGGAACACCGGUGGCGAAGGCGGCCUUCUGGACAGUGACUGACGCUGAGACGCGAAAGCGUGGGGAGCAAACAGG